UACGUAGGUGGCGAGCGUUGUCCGGAUUUACUGGGCGUAAAGCGCGCGUAGGUGGCUUGGUAAGUUCUGUCGUGAAAGGUUGCGGCCCAACUGCAACACUGCGGAGGAUACUGCCAGGCUUGAGGGCAGCAGAGGUCGGUGGAAUUCCCGGUGGAGUGUGAAAUGCGUAGAUAUCGGGAGGAACACCAGAGGCGAAGGCGGCCGACUGGGCUGUACCUGACGCGA
rnacentral:rRNA from 1 species